ACAUACCGAACGAGCCCGCCUCCAGCGCCAUCUCCAUCCGGGUGGCGGCGAAGGGGAAAAGUCCCUAAGCCGGGCUCGAGUGGAAGCAUGGGGCAGGCUGUCCCCGAGGCGGGCCAGCAGAAUGUCCUCCAGGGGAGCGCUAUUGGCAUGGCGGGUCACCCUGCUACAGCACAUACGGAAGAAUCGAAGCGCCUGCUCUUCUUAAUAAAAGGUGGCAUUUUUCUUUCUACAGUUGCUACUGCAGGAAUUCUAGCAGGUUUUGGUACAACCCUUGCCAUGGCUAAAAAGAAAAACCCCAACUGGUUCAAUAAGGGUGUAGUUGCCACAGCUGCUUUACCAGAGAGUGGUUCAUCCCUCGCUUUACGUGCCUUAGGAUGGGGUUCACUUUAUGCCUGGUGUGGAGUGGGAUUGAUCAGUCUUGCUGUCUGGAAAGCUUUGGGUGUUCACAAUAUGAAUGAAUUUCAGAACAAAAUUCAAUCAAUAUUUCCAUCAAUUCCCAAAAAUGCCACACACCCUGUUGAGUGGGAGGACAUUCUGAAAUCCAAGUGAACGGCACAUGAAGGAACUUUGACUGAACCUUUUAAAACUUUAGAGGAGUGACGUGUAUGUGGAAAUUCCCCAUUCCAAAGAACAGGGAGAAAGAAGGAAGGCUAAAUCCUGUGUUCGUGUUUUAUUAAAGGAAAGGAACUAACUUGGAGAGCCGUAUUUCCUAGAAAUGCAAUGGAGGUAUGACUUAGUCCUUUAAAGGAGCCUGGACCUGUUUCAUCUUUACAAGUCCAUUUAAAUGUCCCAAGCAGGCAUAUGGAUGAAUGUGAGCCAAGACAGAAUGGAUGACUCAACACCAUGGGAAUUUUAAAACCAUGUUUCUAAAAGUCCUGUUCCAAAUUUAUGUCAUUAAGAUGUUGCCAUCUGGCCAAAAUUGUUGUUUUAGCAGAUAACAAUCAAUUUGACAGAAGAAUCAUUUUUUUGUUUUGCUUCUGUAGUAUUCGUUCCAUGGUUAAAUUAAGACUAGUAUAGCAAAUGUUAACCUUUUUGUAUAGCAUCAUCUAUAUAUAUCACUCUGGAUGUUUCCGGAUAUGAAAAAACAGGAAUGAUAUGUUACAACUUGCCUGCUUUACUCUCAUUAUCUUGUACAGAGGAAUUACUUUUAUCUCUUGGAACUUGCUCAGAAGUAAGUUCUAUUGAGUCCAAUGGGACUUACUCCUAAGUUAGUGUGUACAGGAAUACCCCGCAUUAAUGUACACAGUGGGUCCAGAGUGAGUACAUAAACCGAAAAUGUACUUAAAGUGAAGCACUACCUUUUUUCACUUUACCGCCACUGUGCCACCUCUCCUUCACGUGGAGCCUCAAAGCCCUGUGCUAAAGCCUCUGCUUCUGCGCUGCCGCGCCUCUCAACUGGUCAUGAUCGCGCCUCCCAGCUGAUUUGCAGUCGCAUGGUCGCAUCUCUUUCCACCCCCCACCUAAAUAACAGGCCACAACCAAAGGUUAAGUGUCCGUUCUUGCAAAGCGAAGUACGUAAACAGGGGAAUGGUGCUACUGUAAGUAUGUCUACUCGUGAGUGUCCAUAAAGUGAAGGUCCAUAUAGCGGGGUAUUUCUGUAUAGGAUAGCAGCCUAAAAAUUGUAAAUAUCCUAUUAAACAGGAAGACAUUUUUCAGAAACUUAGUCAAACAUCACAUUAUAAUCCUAUAAGCAAUCCUUUUCAUUCAUUUUGAGCAUUUGAAACGUAAGGCUGGGUAAAACAAUUGCAAGAAAUUUAAAAAUCUUUAUAGUGGGGCUUUUUAAAAUUCUGAAACUAUAAACUUCAUAUUUUGUGUGUUAAGCAGAAGAAAAUAAACACCAAGAGAAUGUGUUUACACUGAUUUUCCAUACAUGCAAACCAGAAUCAUUUUUUUGGUCUAUUAUCACUACCGUGUGGAGUUUUUAACUAAAUAGAGGUUGAUUCCCCCUCUAGUAUACAUACCUUAACGUGGUGAGGGGGUUUGAGAGUGUUAAAACUAAACAAUGGCCCACAGACUGGAAGCGUUCAGUAUACAUCCUAAUUCUAAAGAAAGGGGAUCCCAGGCAAUGCAGUAAUUAUCAAACUAUUGCCUUAAUAUCCCAUGCAAGUAAAGUCAUGCUCAAGAUUCCAUAACAAAGGCUCUUACCAUAUAUGGAUUGAGAAAUGCCUGACGUCCAAGCUGGAUUUAGAAAGGGAAGAGGCACCAGAGAUCAUAUCGCAAACAUACGUUGGAUAUUGGAACGGACUAAAGAAUUUCAGAAGGAAAUCACCCUGUGCUUUAUAGAUUACAGCGAAACCUUUGAUUGUGUAGAUCAUGAAAAACUAUGGAAUGCUUUAAAAAAAAGGGGGGUGCCAUAGCAUCUGAUUGUUCUGAAGCGCAACCUAUACUCUGGACAAGAGGCUACUGUAAGGACAGAAUAUGGAGAAACUGAUUGGUUCCCAGUCAGAAAGGGUGUGAGACAGGGGUGUAUUUUAUCACCCUACUUGUUUAAUCUAUACCCAGAACAUAUACAGAAAACGGGAUUGGACCAAGAUGAAGGAGGUGUGAAAACUGGAGGGAGAAAUAUCAAUAAUUUAAGAUAUGCAGAUGAUACCAUACUCUCAACAGAAACCAGUAAUGAUUUGAAACGAAUCCUGAUGAAAGUUAAAGAGGAAAGCACAAAAGCAGGACUACAGAUGAACGUCAAGAAGACCAAAGUAAUGACAACAAAAGAUUUAUGUAACUUUAAAGUUGAUAACAAGGAUAUUGAACUUGUCAAGGAUUAUCAAUACCUCGGCUCAGUCAUUAACCAAAAUGGAGCCAAUAGUCAAUAAAUCAGAAGACUAGGACUGGGGAGGGCAGCUAUGAGAGAACUAGAAAAGGUCCUCAAAUGCAAAGAUGUAUCACUGAACACUAAAGUCAGGAUCAUUCAGACCAUGGUAUUCCCGUUAUCUAUGUAUGGAUGUGAAAGUUGGACAGCGAAAAAAGCGGAUAAGAGAAAAAUCCACUCAUUUGAAAUGUGGUGUUGGAGGAGAGCUUUGCGCAUACCAUGGACUGCAAAAAACACAAAUUCACUAACAGGCAAUAAACCUUGCAGUUUAAGAACGUACCUAUAGCCCACAGAUAUUUCUAUCAAACUUUAAAAAGCAGGGAAAUUGGGCAGCUAUAGUGAAUGCACCAGGGGAGCAGGAGACCUGACCUUCUGUCUGAGAUAUUGUAUUGCCCUACAAAUUUGUCAAAAUUUAAACACAAUUUGGGUUGAUCUUUCACAGUCCAAUCCACUUGCUGUGUAGCUUGGAAAAACAUGUUCAUCUGAGCAUAUGGUAAGUGGUGGCAACACCCGCCAUCUCCAAAGAUGGAGAAUUACAUUUUUGUAUGUUUGUUGGUGUUCUUCUUACUCUGCUUCUUUCCUGUAUUACUUUUGUUUCUGCAGAGAAUCUACUCUAGAAAAUUCAUUUUCGUCAUUAUUCAUCCUAGAAACCUGUGUCAAAUUUAUUUUUAUUAAUUUCAAAGCCUUUUUAUUGGUCAGUGUCAUAUGAUGAUGAAGAAAGCCUUUUGUGUUUCAGAUUGGAGGUUAUGUUCUAUUUCUGUUUUGGGUGCAUUAACAGUUGAAUCUGAAACUGCAGUUUUGAUGUAAAAUCAGACUGAUUACAAUAUGUUGCUACUUAAGCAAUGACACUAGCUGUUGGAAAAAACAAACUUAGCCUGUCCAAGAUGCAUGCUCACAUAAUGUGAAGACAUGAUUCACUAGAAAAGACAAUAAUGCUGGGAAAAACAGAAGGGAGUAGAAAAAGAGGAAGGCCAAGCAAGAUUGAUUCCAUAAAGGAAGCCACAGUCCUGAACUUACAAGAUCUGAACAGGGUGGUUCAUGACAGAUGCUAUUGGAGGUCACUGAUUCAUUGGGGCACCAUAACUCGUAAUUGACCUGAAGGCACAUAACAACAACAACAAAGAGGUUGAUUCAUUCAUUAAAAUAAGUGGCCCAUUUGUUCUCAUUCCCUCUUAUGUGUUCCCCAUAUAGUCUGUGAUCAAUAAAGGUCGUAGGAAUAAAUAAUUCAAGCUCCCUCAUCUUCCCAAUACAAGGCCACAUAAAGGAGGGACAAAUAGCUCAGUGCAUCUGAGGGGUUGUAAGUUCGGUGGUGAAGCAUCUGCAUUGUAUGAAGAAGAUUGUAGGUUCAGCCCAUGGCAUAUACGUUGUGACAGAUUUUGGGUAGCAAGACAGAGAGAGACCUCUGCUGGGGUCUGGGGGAGAGGAGGGGGACAUUACUAUAUGGCAGUGGGUGAAAUCAGCACAUGACAGGUCUAAAAACAUUUGUCAGCAUUUUGAUGCACAUUUUUUCUAAUAUACACAUUUUUGCAAGCAAUUUCCCCUUCUAUAAUGCAUUUUAUAUGUUAAUUUUCAUUAAGCAUGCAUUUAUACGCACACUUUCCCAUAAUAUUAUGCAUUUUGUACACAUUGGUUGGAGAACUACAUUGCGAAAUUCAGUAAAGUGCAAAUUUCAAAGAAUAGCUGCACUUUGGUACAUGUAUUGUUUUGGGGAAGAGUGAAUUAGGAAGGUUUGUAUUAAAAUGCAAACUGAACCAAAUAUUUUCC